rnacentral:rRNA from 1 species
AGUGAACGCUGGCGGUAGGCCUAACACAUGCAAGUCGAACGGCAGCACAGUAAGAGCUUGCUCUUACGGGUGGCGAGUGGCGGACGGGUGAGGAAUACAUCGGAAUCUACUUUUUCGUGGGGGAUAACGUAGGGAAACUUACGCUAAUACCGCAUACGACCUACGGGUGAAAGCAGGAGAUCUUCGGACCUUGCGCGAUUGAAUGAGCCGAUGUCGGAUUAGCUAGUUGGCGGGGUAAAGGCCCACCAAGGCGACGAUCCGUAGCUGGUCUGAGAGGAUGAUCAGCCACACUGGAACUGAGACACGGUCCAGACUCCUACGGGAGGCAGCAGUGGGGAAUAUUGGACAAUGGGCGAAAGCCUGAUCCAGCCAUACCGCGUGGGUGAAGAAGGUCUUCGGGUUGUAAAGCCCUUUUGUUGGGAAAGAAAAGCAGCAGGUUAAUACCCCGCUGUUCUGACGGUACCCAAAGAAUAAGCACCGGCUAACUUCGUG